GAAUUGAUGUCUGAAUGCUCCGAUAAUGUAACGCAGCGGCACCCGCACCAGAUGUCCAUAAUUUCGUCCAAUCCUUUCGUAGGUAUAAUUUAGGCAGUGCCAACAGAUCUUCAGCAACAUUCUUAAACGGAAACAUAUCCCCACAACUGAUGGCAUCUCGAGCUAUGUCAUCCACCCUUUCAUUACCCUUAAUCCCUCUGUGCCCAGGGACCCAGGCAAUGGAAACCGAAUAACCUUUGUGGUGACAUUUUAACAGUAGGCUACGGAUUUGGUAAAUAAUUGGGUUAUUAGAUUUAGAUUUGAAAGGAAAUUUAGAUAUUGCCUGAAGUGAACUUAGGGAAUCUGAGAAAAUAAUUGUUUUUUUGAGAUGCAUUAUAAUGAUGAACUCUAUUGCUUUCAGGAUUCCAAAGCACUCACCACUGUACACAGAGGAUUCCGGUGGCAACUUUAUUUUUUGAUAAAUAUUAGAUUGGGUGUGGAGAACACCAAUGCCAACACAACCAUUGUCUGACAUCUUAGAAGCGUCUGUGUAUAUAUGAUCGGCACCCAGGCCAUCUGUUCCAAUGAAUCCCAGGAAUUGUUGAUUUUGUUCAACAUCAUUCUUGGAGACACCAAUAUCGAGGAGAACCGGAGGAACAAGAGUCAGAGAAUCAUAUUCAUAUUGGAAAAUGGGAAGUGUCGAAGAACUAACAGUGGAAGCUGAUAUAGAUUUAAGUUUUUGAAAACUUUUGAUAAAGCAAGGAGGACUCUUGUGUUUCCAAUAGUUAGAAGUAGUUAUUUGAAGCAGGAGGUUAGACAAGAUAGUCCAAAGUUGGUGAUUAGAGAAUUGGGAACAACGGAAAAUAAACCUAUCACAAAGAUAUUGGCGUCGUAAAUGAAGAGGAGGCUCAGCACACUCAACUUGCAUAGCAUUGAUAGGACUCGAAUUCAUGGCACCACAAAUCAAUCUCAAUGCUUUGGAUUGAAUACGAUCUAGUUUUUGAAAGCCAGCUACAGAUCCUGGCUCUAACAAAAAUGUCCCAUAGUCUAGAAUACUUCUAAUCAAGGCAUUGUACAUUAGUUUCAUGCAAAAAGGAUGUGAACCCCACCAAACUCCUGAAACGCACCUGAGGACAUUAAUAUUUUUUUCACAUUUAGAAACUAUGUAAUCACAAUGUGGAAGACCCGUUAAUUUAUUAUCUAAAAUAACACCCAGGAACUUGGUUUUAUCUUUAAUGGAAAUGGAGCUGUUAUUAAAUUGCACAUUGAUUGGAGGAGGAAACAUUUUUCUAGUAAACAAAACUACAACACUUUUAGGCACUGAGAGUUCCAGACCAUUUGAAUCUAACCAUAACUUCAAUAAGCCCAAAGAACACGUGACGGAUCUACUGGCCUGUUCAAUAGAAAGGUUUGGGGAAUAUAAUAAUAAAUCAUCAGCAUAUUGCAAGACUGUAACAGUGUUAUUUAAGGAUGACUCUAAAUCAAAUGUGUAGAUAUUAUAUAACAAGGGACUUAAUACAGAUCCUUGUGGAAGCCCUCUCCACACUAAACGGGAAAUCUUAUUGUAGUCGUCUAUGAGAAGGCUAAUUGACCUUUCUGAUAAAAGGUUUAUUAUGAAAUUGCUUAACAUUAUUGGUAUAGCUAAUUUGUGAAGUUUUGCUUGUAACACUGAGACUAAGACAUUAUCAUAAGCGGCUUUUAUGUCUAGAAAAGCAGCUACAACAGACUCGUUUCUAGAAAAUGCCAAUCGAAUAUCUGAAAUUAAAAUACCCAAGCUAUCAUAAGUAGACCUACCUUUUCGGAAUCCAAAUUGACUAUGAGAAAGUAAUUGAUUUUUUUCUACAAAAUAUUCUAAUCUGUUUUUAACUAAAUGUUCUGCUACUUUAACAAAUACUGAGGAAAGGGCAAUCGGACGAUAUGAAGAAACAUCUGACACUGGUUUGAAGGGCUUUAAAAUAGGAAUAACUAUUUGAGAUCUCCAAGAAUCAGGGAUUUUACCAGACUGGAUAACAGAAUUUAUUAUAUUUAGAUAAUAAGAAAGAAUACCAUCACUGGCUUUUGCUAAAAAGGAAUAAGGGACUCCAUCUUCCCCAGCUUCCUUGCGGUUUCUGAUUGCUUGAGAGCAAUCAUCAUCCCACCAAGGCGGAGAAGGAAUUUUACCAGAUGCACUGUUUUUUACUGGGAAAAUUUUAUCAGCUGCUUCAAUCAUUGUCUGGGCUAAAGCAACUGAGCAACUAACUACAUUACUAUCAUCUAUGGUUGGUAAACAUAACAAUUUCUCCUCUACACGGGUUUUGAAAAGUUUCCAAUCAACAUUACUUAAAUUAUACUUAAGCCUAGGGCUCGGUUUUGGAGAUGGUGGAAUAGAAGAUGGAAAUGUAAUAAUGAUAGGGUAGUGGUCACUCCCAUAUGUCGACUCCAGAGUGUGCCAAGUGAGAGAAGACGCCAGAUCGACUGAACAAAUUGACAAAUCAAUAGCGCUAAUUGACUCUGUUGGAGCUGUUCGGCGGGUUGGAGAUCCAUUGUUUAAAACACAAAGAUUGUGUUCGUCUAAGAUUUGUAUGAGACGAUCUCCAUUAUAAUUAGACAAUGAACUACCCCAAACCUGGUGAUGUGAGUUAAAAUCUCCUAAAAUUAAAACGGGCCGAGGAAGAGAAGAAAUUAUUUGUUCAAGCUCAACAAAAAUGGAUGAUGAUGGAUGUGGAAUAUAUACAGAAAUGAUACAGAUGUUAUUUACAAUGGCAGCAACAAUUGAAAAAUUAUCGCUAUGAGAUGGAAGAUGAAACGGUGAAAAUGAUAUGGAAUUUCUGACGAGUAGAGCUACUCCGCCCCAUCCGCCAGGACGGUCCUCUCUGAGACAUGAAUAUCCCGUAGCUCUAAGAAGAGCUCCAGGCUUGAGCCAUGUCUCAGAAAGGGCAAAAACAAACGGUUGAAAUUUAUUUAAUAAAUGAAUUAAAUCUUGUUUUUUAUUUAUUAUACUUCUGCAGUUCCACUGCAUAAUUUUGGCCAUUAUUUUUAAUAGUUAAUACAAGUUCUUCAAGCAUGGGGGCAACGUGGGACGGUAUUCUUACAUUAGGCUGAGAUAAAUGCUUAAUUAAUGCUUGGAUUUCCUCAGCUACUGAUACAUUAUCUUUUUGAGACUCCUGCUGUAGUGCACAGCCAUUUUGAGGAGAUGGAAUGAUACAUUCUUUAACUAAAGCAUUAUGAGCUGCUACAUCAUACCCUAUUAUGUGUUUUUUUACUGUACGUGGUUUCAAAAAUGUUGUCUUUUUAUAACUAUGUGACUGCAUUGUUGUACCUGGGGCUGGAAUAUGGACACUGCGGUGUAAAUUUGACUGAGACUGUGGAGGUGAUUGUGUCAGAAGGACGUCAGCAAAUGAUUUUGAAACAGCUGGAUGUAAUUUAACAGCUUCACCAUACGAAAUACAAUUGUUAGCCAUAGUUACUUUAAUAUCCUUCUGUCUCUUAUGCUCCGGGCAAGCCCUGUUCGUGGCGAAAUGAAAACCAUUGCAAAGGCAGCAAAUGGCAUCUUCUUCCUCCACUGAACAGAGGGUUGCCACGAAACGGAACCAUUAACUGUAACUCUAUGGUUCAAGCGCCGAACUUUAAGAACUUUUCCGCACCCAAUGGGCACGGAAAUGUUAGACACUAUUUCCUCCUCGGACCACUGCGAUGGAAUACCACGAACUAAGCCCAUGCGCGUUACUGUAAACGACGGUAUGUAUGCUAAUAAAUUUUCUUUGUCAAGUUGAGGAUUGGUCACAAACAAAUUAGCAUCAAUAUGAUUUGCAAAAGCCAUAGAAAUUCGAGUCCUACCAAUACGUUUCACACUACCAUUUAUUAUAUUUUUGAAGCCGUUUUUUACUAAGAACCUACCAAAAGACACCGGGUGCAGGGACGAGUUAGGCUCAGUAUGUUUUAAUUGAACAUGCACCGUAAACGGUGCAACAUCAGAUGAUGAAAAUAAAUUUCUGCCAACUUUUGGUGUUUGAAUAUCAGAAACUACUUUAUUUGUGUUUGUGUCAGGAUUUGUAAUAGAACGAGGUUGGGUCUUCUGUACAAUUUCACACUCGCAAACAUAUUCCCCAACAUCAUUACACUUUCUCUUUUUUUUACACUCUUUGCACCUCUUGUUUCUAUAUACUUUUCUUUUC